GUGGGGAAUAUUGGGCAAUGGGCGAAAGCCUGACCCAGCAACGCCGCGUGAAGGAAGAAGGUCUUCGGAUCGUAAACUUCUAUCCUUGGUGAAGAUAAUGACGGUAGCCGAGAAGGAAGCCCCGGCUAACUACGUGCCAGCAGCCGCGGUAAUACGUAGGGGGCAAGCGUUGUCCGGAAUGAUUGGGCGUAAAGGGCGCGUAGGCGGCCUGGUAAGUCUGGAGUGAAAGUCCUGCUUUUAAGGUGGGAAUUGCUUUGGAUACUGUCGGGCUUGAGUGCAGGAGAGGUAAGUGGAAUUCCCGGUGUAGCGGUGAAAUGCGUAGAGAUCGGGAGGAACACCAGUGGCGAAGGCGACUUACUGGACUGUAACUGAUGCUGAGGCGCGAAAGUGUGGGGAGCAAACAGGAUUAGAUACCCCUGUAGUCC
rnacentral:rRNA from 1 species